rnacentral:rRNA from 1 species
UACAGAGGGUGCAAGCGUUAAUCGGAAUUACUGGGCGUAAAGCGUGCGCAGACGGUUGCGUAAGUCAGAUGUGAAAGCCCCGGGCUCAACCUGGGGAAUUGCAUUUGAGACUGCGUAGCUAGGGUGCGGAAGAGGGAAGCGGAAUUUCCGGUGUGAGCGGUGAAAUGCGUAGAUAUCGGAAGGAACACCAGUGGCGAAAGCACUCUGCUGGGCCGACACUGACACUGAGAGACGAAAGCUAGGGGAGCAAAUGGG